UUAAUGAAUGUGAAAGCGGAAUUCAUCAGUGUGAUGGAAAUGCAAAUUGCACCAACACUGCUGGCUCCUACACCUGCACAUGUAAUGAUGGUUAUGAAGGUACAGGGAGAAGCUGUGCAGAUGUAGAUGAGUGUGCGACCAACACUGACAACUGUGAUGACAAUGCUAACUGUACGAACACCCUGGGCUCCUUCAGUUGUACCUGUCAUAGUGGCUACAUUGGAAAUGGCAUAGUUUGUACAGCAAUUGCAGUGACAACAGAAAGCACAACAACCCCAAUGUCACCAACAGAAAACACAACAACUCCAGUGUCACCAACAGGAAGAACAACUUCAAUGUCACCAA